rnacentral:rRNA from 1 species
GAUGAACGCCGGCGGCGUGUCUAAUAAAUGCAAGUCGAGCGAAGCGGGGACGGGUGAGUAACACGUUGAUAACCUCCUAUAAGACUGGGAUAACUUCUGUACACCGGAGCUAAACCGGAUACUUAUCGAUGGAUCCGCGCUGCAUUAGCUAGUCGCUAAGGUACCGGCUUACCAAUGCAACGAUGCAUAGCCGUCCUGAGAGGGUGAUCCGCCACAGUGAAACUGGGGCACGGUCCAGAGUGCGACGGGAGGCAGCAGUAGGGAAUCUUCCGCAAUGGGCGAAAGCCUGACGGAGCAACGCCGCGUGAGUAAUGAAAGUCUUCGGAUCAUAAAACUCUGUUAUUAUGGAAGCGGUGCCUAAUCAGAAGACCACGGCUAACUACGUGCCAGCAGCCGCGGUAAUUC